rnacentral:lncRNA from 1 species
UCUUCACACUGCAGUCGGAGCUAAUGGUGACCCCAGCCCGGGGAGGAGAUCCCCGUCCCACCUUCUCCUGUAGCUUCAGCCCAGGCCUUCCCCGACACCGGGCCUUGCGCACAGCCCCCAUCCAGCCCCGUGUCUGGGCCUGUGCCUCUGGAGGAGGUCCAAUUGGUGGUGGAGCCAGAAGGUGGAGCAGUAGCUCCUGGUGGAACCGUAACCCUGACCUGUGAAGUCCCUGCCCAGCCCUCUCCUCAAAUCCACUGGAUGAAGGAUGGUGUGCCCUUGCCCCUUCCCCCCAGCCCUGUGCUGAUCCUCCCUGAGAUAGGGCCUCAGGACCAGGGAACCUACAGCUGUGUGGCCACCCAUUCCAGCCACGGGCCCCAGGAAAGCCGUGCUGUCAGCAUCAGCAUCAUCGGCGAGGAGGGGCCAACUGCAGGUGAGGGGUUUGAUAAAGUCAGGGAAGCAGAAGAUAGCCCCCAACACAUGUGACUGGGGGGAUGGUCAACAAGAAAGGAAUGGCCCCAGAAAACCAGGAGGAAGAGGAGGAGCGUGCAGAACUGAAUCAGUCGGAGGAACCUGAGGCAGGCGAGAGUAGUACUGGAGGGCCUUGAGGGGCCCACAGACAGAUCCCAUCCAUCAGCUCCCUUUUCUUUUUCCCUUGAACUGUUCUGGCCUCAGACCAACUCUCUCCUGUAUAAUCUCUCUCCUGUAUAACCCCACCUUGCCAAGCUUUCUUCUACAACCAGAGCCCCCCACAAUGAUGAUUAAACACCUGACACAUCU